CACAGAAAUCCCUUAUCUUGGAAACUUUUGAUGCAGUCACCAAACAUUUGAUCGAGUGUCUUCAAAGGAGGGAGCCCCAAUUGAAUAAUCUUUCCGCUGUCCAUGCUGUGAGGGUUGUUAUUUCCAUUUUGGCUGCUACACCUACACGAGUAGGAAAACACAUUUUAGAGCUAACUAUUAAGUUUGGAGAAAGUAUUGUUUUGUUUUGUAUGACAUGAUGAUUUAGAAAUUUUAGAACCAAAAUUUAAGGUACAAGAGUAAGGCACUUUGUCAAGCUUACUUGUCUUCAAACGGGUAGGAUGGAUAUUUGGCCCUCAGCAUCUCGAUGAUAUCUGACCAAUGAGCUACUGAGCUGGAACAUAUGAGCCUGCCUGAUGCUUCGCUUUUCUCCAUUGCUAGCAGAUGAGCAGCGAUGACAUCAUCUAUAUGCACAAACCCAACUGUUGUAUUUGGGUAUUCUCCUAUCAGACCUGAUAAAGUUGCAGAAAUAUUUGGUGAAAAUGAACUUAAUGUUUUAGGGCUGAUACAAAAUGAACUUAAAGUUUUAGGGCUGGUAAAAAUGAUACACCCAGUGUUGCUGCUGGUAAGUUUUUAAAUGUGCCGAGGGUCUCUUGCCAUUUAAAGAAAAGUAUGGGUAUCGGAACUCUCUCUCUCCUUCCCCCCCCCUCUCCCUUAUAUAGACAGGAGUUACUCUGUUCUUGGUGACACAAGAAGUAGCAAUUGCAGGUACGGCAAAUUGUUAAAAAUUGGAUACAUGUAACCUUGCUUUAAGCGUGUUUGUUCUGUUAAAAAUCAAAUUCUAGGCAAUUUACAUUUACAAGUAUAACCUUUGACAAUGGCCAAUAUCCAUUGGAGUGUACUGGUUGGUUUUGGUGCAAGCAAGGGACCGACUACGAAAGAGGGGUUCACCACCACCAGGUCGACUCCACUUUCCUCUGCUACUCUCCAUGCCUCUUUCUCUGCGACAGUUUUUGCAUAUGCAUACCACAGCUAAUGUACAGACAAAAAUAUGUAAGUAAAUAAAAUGUUGCAGUUGGAAGUGAUUCAUGUAAACCUGGUGUAAUCUCCUUGUUUUGGGUAUUCAUCUGUUCUUAAUCUUCUACUUGUCUGUGUGCAUGCUUACUGGCCAUAUAUGCUAAGAAGCAUGGAUACAAACACACACCAAAAGCCACGACACAGACUUGUUGGGGAAACGGUGAAUACUAUUUGUCCUUAUUAUCAAUUGUGCCUCAAAUAAUGUUUUUAUGCAGAUAUAAGAAGAUGUAGUCACUAAAUGAGUAUCCAAGAACUAAGCAUUCAUGGCAAUUUUGACUCUGAUCAUUUUAAAAUCAUAAUGUGUCCCCAAUGUGUCCGCCUAAUGAAUUAUAAUACAAAAUCAGUUACACUUGGGCAUGUUUGGUGUCUGAUGCUUGUCGGACAUGGAUACGGGAGGCCAGUAGGUGUGUUUGUGCUUCUUGGCAUAUACGCAGUGCUUUCAAAAACAUGAAAGAGGUUUGAGUGAUGUUACAUUGUUGCGUUCGCAGUACUCCAGAUCACUCCAGUGAGUUUCAUUUAGAGGAGAAACUCGUCGAGCAUCAUCGCGGUAUCUUACUGACGAGCAGGAAGAGGUCAGCACAACGCGCCUCACAUUCCUUGCUCUUGUGCAGGAGCUCAAGACAUUCAGAGUGCCUUUUAUACAUGGAUCUAUCAGGGUAGCCUGCAAUAUUAGAAAAAGCAUGAAACUAAUGUAUCUAGUUUUGCAUGUCACAACCAUGAUAGAGAUAAUUAAACCUUACCAACUGUAAAAUUUACUUUAACAAGAAUAACCGCAUUGCAUAAAUUUGGGUUGUUGAGACUUGAGAUGUUAUUUAGUUUGCAUUCAUGGAACAAAUCGCAGAAAACUUGAAUGGUAUUGAUGGUCGAAAAGUACUAGUGAUAUCUAUGGCCUAGGAAAUAUAGAUCAUAUCGAGACAUGUCUAUCAGAUUAUGCCAUCCAGCUUUCAAAAACAGUCAUCAUUUAGGAUCAAGGUGAGAACCUCUGGUUGCUAUUGGGAAGGCACUCAGUUAAGCUUUUAGUGUAAAUGAUUGAUUAAUGUAUGAUUAUGGUAUUAUCAUCAUUUAUUAAUUAUUAUACCAACAGGUUCCAAGAAAACUUUGCCUGAAUGUUUUGGUCAUAUGGAACGAGAACUGGAGAUGCAGUAUGGAAGACCCCGUCGACCCCCUUUAUGGCUUGGUCAAAGCUUCCUUCAUCCAUCAGAUCAGCUUUGAAAAUCUUUAGUCUCUCCUUGGCUCCACUCAGCUCCCAAAGGAAACCUACCUUUUCCACAUCUCCUGGCAAGAAAGAAAAAAAGAAGAAACAGUAUACAAGUGGCAAGAUGGAGAUGAUAUUGAUCAGAAUAGGGAACUUGUCGCUGAUCAUAUGAGCGGCAUGAUCUGUAUGAAUCUUUGGCAGGAGAAGUGAGAGUACCUGGAUCUCGCACGGUUGUGCGGACAGUGUGACCCUUUUCCAACAGUGAUUUCACUAGGUGAUCACUUUUUCACUAGCCUGUAGGAGAGCACCGAUGGAGGCAAUGUCAUUUUUACAUGUAGCAGUGCUAAAUAAUGACUGUUUCCAGGAGAUUGAAACAAUAAAUAGAGAACGAGAAUUAGCAGUUUAGACCUCUCACUCGGCAACCUUGAGCUUAAGAAGGCCUUUUGAGGGUUAUUAAUAGCUCAAUCUGAAAAGGCUUGUAGCAGCGAGGAAAUUUUCGAAUACUUGCUGAUUUGAUUUACCACUUUUGCAAGAUGGUUGACCAAUGAAAUCCCGAGGGUUGACCACCAAGACGCAGCAGUAAAGUUGGAAGGCCAAGAUUUUGGUUUCGUCGACUACUGAGAUAUUCUGGAGCUUUGUCUAAAACAUUGUACAGGGGUCGAUAAGCCCCUGGGCUGGUCCACCAGACAAGUAGCCAACACCUAAGUGUACUACAAACUCUCUUCAAGGGGCCAAGAGUAACGAGACGAAGCCUCGUUUUACUAACUUUCCAUUGACGGCUUCGAAAUGAUAUUUGAUUGACGGUCUUCUUUCUUGAUUACGCGUCACGUCUAAUUCAACCUGUCGUAAAUGAAGCUUUCACAGUCCAUUAUUG